GCCGCUGUAGCCCAGAUGAGAGAGGCGUAACCAGUACGGAUGGUGAAGGUCGCUGGUUCAAAUCCAGCUUGCGGUA